GACACGAUAAUCUAUAUUCUUUCACUGUUAACCUAUAGAUAUUACUUAUUUCAAUUUGUAUUCCACUCAAUAUUUUUAAUAAGCUUGGACACGUUUCAAGAGAGAGAGUAGCGUUAACUUUUCUAAUUUUAGAAAAUACGGAGUAUUUAGACUUAGAUAAUAACAGCAAUGACAUUGAAAGAGAUGUGAAAAAUUAGUAAAAGACACAAAUUAGCUUUUUCCAGUAAGCCAAAUAAUAUAAAAAUAGCCAAUAAUGUUACGUUUGUAUUUUUGCUGUCAUGUGUGUUUACAUAUACUAAUUUUAUUCACACCAUAAUAUGAUAGAUCCAAUUCUUAUUCAUUCAUUCAUUAUAAAUAUAUAUUUUAGAUGUGUCCAAAUAUUUGUUUGAAAAGUACAUCAAUCACGAAGCUUAACCCCAGAAUUUCUCAAUUGAGCAGAAAACACUCGAAUAAAUUUCUAUUUGGUAAUCAUUAUCACCAUUAUUAUCACAUUCCUUCGCAUAUUUCAACUCAUACACCUUACUUCAAUUGUGUAAUAGAUUUUAGGUGUUUUAAUGAUUUUUAUUGAGUGAGUAGUUAUCAGAGAUUUACUCACUAACAUGAAAUUUAUACUAAUUUGCAAUUUUAGAAGACAAAAAGCACAAAAACCGCAAGUCUCACUAACCUCUCACUUACGUUGCCUAUAUAAAUUAAAUAUUAUGGAUGAGUAAUUCUUAACUUUUAAAUAUCCAAAAAUUAAAACUUAUCCACUGAUUUAGACAUAGGGAUAUAAUAGAUAGAGUAGACAUGCCGGUAGGAUCAUUUAUGUAUUUUUAUCUCUUUCUUUCUCUCGUAAAUCCACGAUACACAUACAACGGUAUGCUGAAUUUUCGGUUCAAAUUUGACACGCCUCGCGCAUGACGUCACGCUGGAGUCAUAAUAUUUUCUUGGCCAUUAAGAUUAGGUUGGAGUUGUACAUAUGUACCGGGUUUGUGAUACUUUUUUGUAUUUAACGCCUAUUAUAGAGUUGACCUGUUAUUAUUUUCUCUUAAAAUAUUGUAUUUUCUAUUAUGAGAUCAUAAAGCCUUUGCUAUAUGUAAAAACACUAAUCGAAAUACCAAAGACAUAGGUAUUGAAUAUUUUGAUUUCCAAUAUAAAAGACUUGGCGAAGCAGUGGUCGAGAGGAUAAAAUUAAUGUAAAAUAUGGUAAAGGAAUGUUGUAAAUCACAAAAUAACAAACAAAAUUCCUAUUUUUUUUUCAAUAAUUAUACUUAUUUUAUGUUAUUAAACUUAUAGAAUUAUCGAUAAAAACGGUUUCAGCCUGGUUGAAAGUAUUUAGAUACGAUACGUCUUAUUUAUUUUAGCACGUGUUUGUUCCAUUUAUUUCGAAGAGAAUAAUAAAGUUCCAUAUAAUGUAAAAUGUCUAGGUUUAAAACAUUGUUUAUUUACCUAUGUGAUUCGCUCAAAUAAAUAAAGAAAAUAUACCUAUAAUAUAUCAGAAACAAUUUUAUGAAAUUGAAUAAUUUCAUAAUUUUGCUAAUCAUAUUUUAAAUAGACUCUUAUUUCACGAAACAUGCAAGAAAUUAUAUUCCUUGUAUACCACACGAGGCAUUAAGAAACGUGAAAUUUAAAUGGUAAAUUCAAUAACCACAUAAAUAAUACAUAUAUAGACAUGUCUUUGCAUCAAAUAUUACUCUUGGAAUGGAAAUAAAACUUUAUAACAGGCAUACAGCAUACAUUAUACUUCACAUUUUGUUUCCAACGUGACGUCACAUUAAACGAGAGAGAUGAGGCGUGCCAGCGUAUGCCUGCGUAUAGGCUGAACGCCCCUGGCAUCUUCUCUCUUUUCUGAAAGCCGAACACUAUCACUUACAUGGUUGCCUUUAGUAUGCAUACUCUAUCUGCAAUGUCUGUAUGGAUUUAGGUAGUUUUCCAAUUCAACACCAGAGCGUACAACGUGACAAGAUGUUUUUGUUUUCUUCCAAUUGUUUUUGACAGGCGCAUUUAUAAGUCUAUUUUGGUUGCUUUUUAGAAAAAGGUUUUGUCCUGUCAAAGUUAUAAAUACUUAUUAUCAUUUUAUUACUCUCUUAUUCAUAACAGCAGACUAUAGUUGAAUCAUCAUCACUAUCAUCUGGAUAAGAUGAAGUGUACAUUGGUGUAUUCACAGUGAACCUAGAAAUUAAAGAUUGCUAAGUCUGUAAAUUUAUCUGGAAAACCUGGAGUGAGACCAACGCACUCUACUGUCGCACUUCAAAACUAAUUUGUUCCAAUAGACAGUCUAAGUCUGACGUCACAAAGACGGGCGGAGCUUAUAACUAAGAUUAUUUACUCGAUAUAGUCGCCAUGGGAAACGCCCAAAAAAGUAUUUCAUGCGCUGUGAACACUUAGUGAAAUGCACCCUCAGUAUAGCGUGCAAAGAUUAUAUACUCGACAGCGUGUUAGCAGAAGCUUAAUAGACAGCCUAAGUCUUGACGUCACAGAGACGGGAGGAGCUUAUACCGACUCCAUACAAUUUCGAUGAUAAUGGUAAAUGCCCAUAAGCAAUUUUUCAUUUAGUGUUUUCGUGGUUUAUGUUAUAAAAUAAGACUUUUCAGUUGAAUAUAUUGUUGAAGGAACGUACUAUUUAAGAGGUUUUUAUUAGUUUUUCACCAGAUCCUUUUGUUGUUAAGAAAAUAAUGGCUUUUAAACAUGUUCUAAAACUUUCCAGCAUCAGUGCUUUUAUAGAUGACACAACAAAAUUAUAAAGAGGGGUGGAAACGCCUAGAGUCCACUCAUGUGAAGAAAAUGGACUUUGACUCUGAUUUACAGGUAAUCAGAGGGGAAGUAUUUGCUAUUGUGAAAGACAAAAGCUACAAGGUAUCUAUAGUGCUUGUUCCAGGGGUAUAAAAUACCAUCACAUUGCAGCGUUGGCACUUUUUGAGCAUUACAAUAUAUCUAUAACAGAUAAAGCAGUGCAUGGAAGGCACUACCUAAAACGAAGGUUGGGCCAGUGAAAUCUGCAGAAGAGCUAUACCCGCUAAAUUUUCUGGAAAAUGGAUUUCCGGUAAUUGAAGAAAUAAUUUCUUCCAAGGACUUUUUGGAGGCCACAGAUAAACUGACUGUGUUCAAAGAAAAAUGUGCUGUUGAUGAUCAGCUAAUAAAAUAAAUAUCUGUCACCCCUACUGGCCAGGUGUCAAAUGAAAAAUGGUACCUUGAAAGAAAAUUUAGAUUAACUGCUAGCAACUUCAGUGGUAUUAUUACAGCAUGCAGGGGAAACAGAUUCUCAGUGAGUUUGUUCAACACACUCUUGGGUGAAUACAAUUUGGAUGGUAUCAAAGCAAUCCAGUGGGGUAGAACUCAUGAAAAAGAUGCUCUAGAUCAUUUGAAGCAGAUUUAUAAUUUGAAUGUUCGGCCAACUGGAGUAUGGCUUACAAAUUCAGGACUUCUUGGUGCUAGCCAAGAUGGAAUAAUUGGUGAAGAAGCCAUUGUAGAAGUGAAAUGCCCACAAUUAUUAUCAUCAAAUUCAAGGAGCUUUACAUAUUUUAAAAAAGAAAAAAUGUUACUUUUGUAUUUAUACCUUGAAGGAAACAGUUGUGACUAUUGUAGAGUUUGACGAUUCAUGGAAAGAAAACAUUUCACUCUUGGAAAAAUUCUAUAUAGAACAAUACUUACCAAAGUUGUUAGACAAUUAAAUAAAAAUUUUUGACAUGUUUUUCAAUGUGAUUUUAGGUUAUUAUGCAGUGUUUGCAGAUAGAGUAUACAGUUUGAAAAAUCUUUACUAUUCAUUUUAGACUGAAAAGCCACUCUACAAAAUUUUUGUUCAGAAAAUUAUGUUUUUUAAUAUAAAUGUACAAUGCCAUUUUGUCAAUAAAGAUUUUUGAAACAAA